UCAGGCCUAACACAUGCAAGUCGAACGGUAACAGGAAGAAGCUUAGCCUCCUUCGCUGACGAGUGGCGGACGGGUGAGUAAUGUCUGGGAAACUGCCUGAUGGAGGGGGAUAACUACUGGAAACGGUAGCUAAUACCGCAUAACGUCGCAAGACCAAAGAGGGGGACCUUCGGGCCUCUUGCCAUCGGAUGUGCCCAGAUGGGAUUAGCUAGUAGGUGGGGUAACGGCUCACCUAGGCGACGAUCCCUAGCUGGUCUGAGAGGAUGACCAGCCACACUGGAACUGAGACACGGUCCAGACUCCUACGGGAGGCAGCAGUGGGGAAUAUUGCACAAU
rnacentral:rRNA from 1 species